UACGGAGGGUGCGAGCGUUGUCCGGAAUCACUGGGCGUAAAGGGCGCGUAGGCGGCCGUGUAAGUCACCUGUGAAAUCCCGGGGCUCAACUCCGGGGCUGCAGGUGAGACUGCGUGGCUAGAGCACGGUAGAGGCGAGUGGAAUUCCCGGUGUAGCGGUGGAAUGCGUAGAUAUCGGGAAGAACACCGGUGGCGAAGGCGGCUCGCUGGGCCGUUGCUGACGCUGAGGCGCGAAAGCUAGGGGAGCAAACGGG
rnacentral:rRNA from 1 species